rnacentral:rRNA from 1 species
CGAGUGAAGCGGCAACAGCUCAAAUUUGAAAUCUGGCCCCCUCGGGGCCCGAGUUGUAAUUUGUAGAGGAUGUUUCGGGUGUGGCUCCGGUCUAAGUUCCUUGGAACAGGACGUCAUAGAGGGUGAGAAUCCCGUAUGUGACUGGCAGCCUACGCCCAUGUGAAACUCCUUCGACGAGUCGAGUUGUUUGGGAAUGCAGCUCAAAAUGGGUGGUAAAUUUCAUCUAAAGCUAAAUAUUGGCCAGAGACCGAUAGCGCACAAGUAGAGUGAUCGAAAGAUGAAAAGCACUUUGGAAAGAGAGUUAAACAGUACGUGAAAUUGUUGAAAGGGAAGCGCUUGCAACCAGACUUGCGUGCGGCCGAUCAUCCGGUGUUCUCACCGGUGCACUCGGUCGUGCUCAGGCCAGCAUCGGUUUCGGCGGCUGGAUAAAGGCCAUGGGAAUGUAGCUCCUCUCGGGGAGUGUUAUAGCCCGUGGUGCAAUGCAGCCCGCUGGGACCGAGGACCGCGCUUCGGCUAGGAUGCUGGCGUAAUGGUUGUAAGCGACCCGUCUUGAAACACGGACCAAGGAGUCUAACAUCUAUGCGAGUGUUUGGGUGUCAAACCCAUACGCGGAAUGAAAGUGAACGGAGGUGAGAACCCUUAAGGGUGCAUCAUCGACCGAUCCUGAUGUCUUCGGAUGGAUUUGAGUAAGAGCAUAGCUGUUGGGACCCGAAAGAUGGUGAACUAUGCCUGAAUAGGGUGAAGCCAGAGGAAACUCUGGUGGAGGCUCGCAGCGGUUCUGACGUGCAAAUCGAUCGUCAA